UACAGAGGUCCCAAGCGUUGUUCGGAUUCACUGGGCGUAAAGGGUGCGUAGGCGGUCGGGUAAGUCUGACGUGAAAUCUUCAAGCUUAACUUGGAAACUGCGUCGGAUACUAUUCGGCUGGAGGAAUGGAGGGGAGACUGGAAUACUUGGUGUAGCAGUGAAAUGCGUAGAUAUCAAGUGGAACACCAGUGGCGAAGGCGGGUCUCUGGCACGCAUCUGACGCUGAACCACGAAAGCCAGGGGAGCGAACGGG
rnacentral:rRNA from 1 species